GAUUAAGUUAUUAAGGGCGCACGGUGGAUGCCUUGGCACUAGAAGCCGAUGAAGGACGUUACUAACGACGAUAUGCUUUGGGGAGCUGUAAGUAAGCUUUGAUCCAGAGAUUUCCGAAUGGGGAAACCCAGCAUGAGUUAUGUCAUGUUAUCGAUAUGUGAAUACAUAGCAUAUCAGAAGGCACACCCGGAGAACUGAAACAUCUUAGUACCCGGAGGAAGAGAAAGAAAAUUCGAUUCCCUUAGUAGCGGCGAG
rnacentral:rRNA from 1 species